rnacentral:lncRNA from 1 species
AAGCGCGUACACACAUCGCUCUUGCACACACAGGAUCUGCGGGGUAUUCGCCUCUUCGCCCCGCGCCACACCACCCAGCUGAGCAUCGCUUUCAGGCUACCCUGCGGGGGCGCAGGCUUGGAUCAGCCAAUCACCUUGCUGUCUACGAAAAGGCCUUUAUGAAGAAAUCCAUCUUUAGCUGGAGGCCCCUGUGACUAGAAAGAUUUCUCCUAUGCCCAUCUAACCCUGCUGCUGCAGUGUGACCUUCUCCUACCUAGAUUUCUUCUCCUUGAGAACAGGCAACCUUAACUAAAACCAUUGAGACUUCUUCCCCAGGUUGGAUGGGCUCCAGGCCAGAUCUCCUAGACACCUGGAUGGCAGCUUAGCAUAAAGAGCCAGCUGCCUUCUCGUAGAGCCAAAACAUCAGUGUGUGGUCCAGACCGUUGGCAAGUAGACCUGGGCAUCCUGAAUCUACAGCUCGGACCGCAUCUCUGCAUCUUGCCCAAGGGGAGUCUAUGAAGCAGUUGCCUUUCUUAAUUAAAAGGGAAACGAAGAGAUGAGCCUGGAGGCUCGCCACUCACAUUCGCCUGGACACUGCUGGACAAUGGAGCAUGUCCCCACCCACAGGAGAUGUCCCAUCAGCCUCGGCUCCGGAAUAAGAAAGACGUUGUGGGCUUCCUGCCAAUCCCAAGUAGCCAUGUCGUGAGAUCCGAUACGUAAACCUUUGUGUGUUAAGCCACAGCAAUUUGGGAGUCCUUUGUUACUGCAGCGUAACCUGGAUUAUCCUGACUGGUUCUAUGAGAAAGAUACUCAAAACAGUGACUCUAGUGAGCUGUAUACCAAGGCAUCUGCCAAUCAAAGCAGCCCUACACACUCAUGCCAAACAGCCAUAUAUUAGUGGAAGCCAGAGGAAGAAAUUACAUAUUGCUUGUUAUUCCCGGUGUCAUCGAUGGCUAAGUCACCAUCCCCUAUCUUCCUCACAACAGUGUUUCUUCCCAGCUUGAUAAUGAUAGCUGUAGUUAAAAACUACCAUUCAUUGAUCAUUUGUCAUAUGUCGCACACCAUAUAAAGUAUUUACAAGUCUA